GUGAGGAAUAUUCCGCAAUGGGGGAAACCCUGACGGAGCAAUGCCGCGUGCAGGAUGAAGGCCCUCGGGUCGUAAACUGCUUUUAUAUGAGAAGAAUAUGACGGUAACAUAUGAAUAAGGGACGGCUAACUACGUGCCAGCAGCCGCGGUCAUACGUAGGUCCCAAGCGUUAUCCGGAGUGACUGGGCGUAAAGAGUUGCGUAGGCGGCUCGUUAAGCGUGAAAUGAAAUUUAUCGGCUCAACCGGUAAACUAUUUCGCGAACUGACGGGCUCGAGAGUAUGAGAGGUUACUGGAAUUUCUAGUGUAGCAGUGAAAUGCGUAGAUAUUAGAAAGAACACCAACGGCGUAGGCAGGUAACUGGCAUACAUCUGACGCUGAGGCACGAAAGCGUGGGGAGCGAACCGGAUUAGAUACCCUGGUAGUCC
rnacentral:rRNA from 1 species